rnacentral:lncRNA from 1 species
UUUGCGUCAGCUCGAGUCUUUCCAUUGAUUUAUUUUCAUGGAAUUCCUUCGUAUCUCUCAGCAAGUUUUAAGUCGUGACCUGCUCACACAUCGUAUUCCCCUUUAUUCCCCAUUAGAGUCCCCAGAGUCUCUGACCCAUUUAUAAGUGUACUACUCAUAUGGAUUUUCAGUUUCUCCGGAUUUCUUUUCCUUUGUGGACAUAUAUCCCCACAAAGUAUUACCUUUUUG